UAUAUAUAUAUAUUAAAAAAUAUAUUAUUAUGUAUAUUCUUUAAGGAAAAGGGGAGUUAGGGUUUAGUGGGGUACAAUUGGUUAUAAAUGUGGAGUUAAUGAGCCCUCGAUUUGCAUGCAGAGAAAAGAGAGAGCAAUUUUUUUUCCUCUCCUUCUUCUUCCUUCCAGCCCCCUCCUCACGAGACCCUUUCUUCCCCGACCCGUUUUCCACCAGCCGUUUGUGGUUCGACAGGUCGUCGGCGGUCUGAUCGCCGCCACCUCCUCAUGCCUCAGCCCAGCCGUGCCGAUUGCACCUCAAUUCUUCGCCAGUCGCGCCGCUCGACCGCUGCUCUCCGCUAGCCACACCGUUUAACCAUUGCUCUUCGCCAGUCGCGCCGCUCGACCGCUACUUUCUGCCAGCCACGUUGCACGUCGAUGCUUUCCGCCAGUCGAGUUUCUUCAGUUUUUUGUUCCCCAAUCGCCGACCUCUUCUGUUUUGCCAGGAACUUGGUUCUUUUUUUUUUGUGAGAUUUAAGUUUUUGGUUUUUAGUUAAUGGGUUUUGAAUGCCUAUCGAUUUUGGUCUGAUUUAAGUUUACUCAGGAUGCGUUGUUGCUCAAUUCGGGGUUUCAAGAUAUUUUUCGGUACUGUCCAGCAACAUCAAAGUUCGCUUUGGGCGCCUUCUGGUAAACUAUAAUGGUUGUUCUUGUUAAAUCUUGUUUUCCCCAGUUGGUUUGGUGAAUAUUUGUGCUAAUUGAAUUUUAGGAUUGAGUUUUGAAACCUUUCAGUUUGGCUGAUGACUAGUUUGGAUUCCGUACUUGGAGCUCAGGUGUAGUUCUGGUUAAGUUGACAUUUUUUGACGAUUGAAGCAUUUGACUCAAGUCAAAGAGGGAUUUGAAUGAUAGUUGGAGUUUUGUUUGCUAAUUAUUCGACAUAAAUUCGAGGUAAGAGUAACGAUAGACCGGUGCAUGACAAGAGAGAUCCGUGGCCCAGCCAUUUGGAUGGUUUACUGCUUCCGCACUUAGGUUCAUGUACUAGAGUCUGGUUUAGUAGUUAGGCUCUUUACAAUCUUAUGAAAUAUUCAUUUAUUUAAUUGUUAUUCAUUUUAAAGUUGGGUUAGGGGUACCCCGAACGGUAUUUUUUUUUGUUUUCUCUUCUUUGC